CAAGGCGUCCUCUCUGGAGAGACUCACCUCGUUAACAUCUUCAUGAAUUGAUGAAUUGUAAUUGUAUGAACUAAUGAAUUGUAAAUAAACUCAUUCUUUCUACCUGUAUAUCUAAUGUGAGACUUCCCAGAGGGUUGAGGGCUAAAGGCACAAUAGGGUAUUGGUAGGAUGUAGGAAUGACAACAGGCUCGUAAUCAUGACAUGUCAUCUAUCCUGCAUAAAGACAAUUGCUUAGGUGGACAAGCCACAUUUACUUAAUCUGGAAAAGGAACAUGUAUAAUUGCAUAUAUGUUUGACAAACAGCCAAAAGCCUUGUCACAUCUAAUUUAGCAACACAUAUGAAUGGAUGAACAAGAUUCCUACUGUUCCUACCUCCUAUCUAGCAAAAUCACAGCCAAGGCUUAGCUGAAUCAGUAGAGAAAGAAGACGCUGUUGAGCUUGACUCUAGUCUGGUGUUGUGAAGACACAUGAGAGGUGUAGAAUAACUGGGAGAGCAGGCACAUGCUCAGCAGUGCAGAGCAACCCACCCGCUGGUGUCCCAUCAGUGAAGGACCACUACUGUGAUCUGUUUUUCACUUAGCUGGUGAGGCAGGGGGUGAGCUGCAAGGACACACACACACACAAAGUAAGUUGAGGCUCAGAACUCUGAAGGAUUGAAAAAAAAGAAGGCAAAAAGAAAAAGAGGCAGACAUCUACAAUAAUAUACAAUAGGAACUUCACAGCAUUACAGAAUCAUUGGGGUUGGAAGCGACCUCUGGAGAUCCCUCAAGACUUUUCACUAGAAGCAAUGUCUAUACGCACAAAACCUCAAUCACCAUUUCAGGACAUAAAGGACACAAAUUUGAUUAUUGUAUUUUUUUGUCUCUUCCCCACUUUAGACACAUAGGACAAUAAAGUUUCCAUAAGUAUGACAUAGGCCAGUUAAUUAAAUCCCUAACUGAAGAAAUGU
rnacentral:ncRNA from 1 species